CUGUUCAUCCAACUAUCUUCCCACUGUCAAUUGCACACAUUACUGGGUGUCUUUGUGCAUCUAUACAUAGUAUAUAUAUACAUACAUAGAUGCACAUUUCUUAAGCGUGUUGAAUUCUUGCUAUAAGUUUUUCCCCUUUUUCCUGCCCAAGUUUAGUUUGCUGAGAGCUCUUAGGUUUCUCGUGAUUUUUCACCUUUUGAGCUUUUUCGGAAAGUGUUAAUGGUUUGAAUCACCUGUGAUUAGUUUCUCCUAUUUGAUUUCAGGUUUAAAGUCUUAAUUUUUGGCAAAUUUUGGGGUUUGAAAUUUUAAUUUCAUUUUUAUUCUUGUUAGGUGUAGAAUUCGUUCCUAAUUCAAAAACUCAUCAGCUUGUUUUGCAAAACUUUAUUUUGCUGGAAAACUCGAAAAAAAUGAUCUUUUGCAACCAUUAGUUCUUGAUUUGCAGAGGUUAAUUAAAGAAUUCCAGCACAAGAUCUUCAAUUUUAGAUUUUUUUCAAAUCUUGAUAGAGUUGGGUUAAAAUUUUCAAUGGAGUCCGAUACCCCAGUUAAGUUUACUCUAUGGAAGCAAUCGUCAAUGGCGCCGGAGAGGGACUACGAGGAGCUUGAUGAGCUGGAGGAGCAGGAAGAAAAUGACGUGAUUGAUAUUGAUCCAGGGUUGAAACUGAUGUAUGUGGUCAAUGCGGGUGAUUUAGAUGGGAUCAGGGAGCUGUUGGAGUCCGGUGUGGAUGUUAAUUUCCGCGAUAUUGAUCACCGGACUGCGCUCCAUAUCGCUGCUUGCCAGGGGUAUGAUGAUGUUGCCAAGCUGCUGCUUGAGAAUGGGGCGACGGUGGACUCUUGUGAUAGGUGGGGAAGCACGCCGCUUGCAGACGCCAUACAUUAUAAAAACCAUGGUGUAAUCAAACUACUGGAGAAGUACGGUGCGAAGGAUCUUAUGGCUCCAAUGCACGUUGAAAAUGCUUGUGAGGUCCCUGAAUAUGAGAUCCAUCCCAAUGAACUUGAUUUCACUGAUAGCAUUGAGAUAACAAAGGGAACAUAUAGGGUAGCUUUGUGGCGUGGAACGAAGGUUGCUGUGAAAACUUUCGGGGAAGGAAUUGCUAUUGAGGACAAAGUCAAGGCUUUUCGGGACGAGCUUGCGUUGCUUCAGAAAAUCAGACAUCCAAAUGUCGUACAGUUUCUCGGCGCUGUCACACAGAGCAGUCCGAUGAUGAUUGUGACUGAAUACUUACCAAAGGGCGACCUCCAUGAGUAUUUGAAGAAAAAAGGUCCGCUUAAGCCUGCAACAGCUCUCAGAUUCGCUAUGGAUAUUGCCAGGGGAAUGAACUACCUACAUGAAAAUAAUUCCGAAGCAAUUGUUCAUCGUGAUCUUGAGCCUUCGAACAUCUUGCUGAAUGACUCCGGGCACCUAAAGGUUGCUGAUUUUGGAGUUAGCAAGCUUCUUAAAUUCGCCAAAAGAAUCAAAGAAGACGCGCCUCUUGCUUGCCACGAUACUUCUUGUGAGUUUAUCUCAAAUUACUCUUAUCGUUUCCCAAACAAUUGAUUUGCUGCUUAGAAUCUAUAUAACACGGAUACUUCACUUUGUUGCCGUAUCGCGUAUCGGAUACGUAUCCGAUACCGAUACGCGACGGAUACGCGACGGAUACGUAUCCUGGGCGUAUCCGCGGGAUGGGCCGUAUUGGGCCGGGAAACCUCAGAUUCGAUACGUAUCUCGGUGGAUACGGCCCAGUUUAAAGCCCAUCUAAAGGAGCCGGCCCGAUAGAAUUAACGGGCUGGACCAAAAAGCCCAUUUGUGAUGUAGCCCAUUGCAGCUGGAUGAACAAAUCUAGCUCUAUAAAUAAUGAUGCUCUAUACAAUAUAAGAUUCCACACAAUUGAGAAAGCCGCAGCUAGGUCAAAAACUCCCCGCCUCCAUAGAUUCGCUUUUGAUUCCCUUAGUGGUGUUGGUCUUCUUGAAGUUGCUGACCUCUCCAUUGAUGAACCUGAGUUGCAGGCUGUAUCAUUUGGAUUGGGUGAUGCCGAGGAUGAAGGUGUGGAGCUGGAGGAGACGGGGAAUGAGGAAGAAGCUUGAUGUUGAUGGCUUGAUGCUAGUUUGCUACUACCUUUUAAUUAUUUCCUAAUUUAGAACCUGCUGCUAUCAUGUUAUUUUGAGUGUAAUAGACCUUUAAUGUCUCUAUGUUGAAUUAGAAUAUCUAUUUUGUAAUUUAUUUUGCACUAUUAUUAUUUAUUAAAAAAAAUAGUUAAAACGUA